rnacentral:rRNA from 1 species
GAUGAACGCUGACAGAAUGCUUAACACAUGCAAGUCUACUUGAAGUAACUUCGGUUAUGGAUGGUGGCGGACGGGUGAGUAACGCGUAAAGAACUUGCCCUUUAGCCUGGGACAACUGUUGGAAACGACAGCUAAUACCGGAUAUUAUGAAACCAAGGCAUCUUGGAUUUAUGAAAGCUAGAUGCGCUAGAGGAGAGCUUUGCGUCCUAUUAGCUAGUUGGUGAGGUAAUGGCUCACCAAGGCGACGAUAGGUAGCCGGCCUGAGAGGGUGAACGGCCACAAGGGGACUGAGACACGGCCCUUACUCCUACGGGAGGCAGCAGUGGGGAAUAUUGGACAAUGGACCAAAAGUCUGAUCCAGCAAUUCUGUGUGUUUGAUGAAGGCCUUCGGGUUGUAAAGAACUUUAAGUAGGGAAGAAGAAAGUGACGGUACCUACAGAAUAAGCGACGGCUAAAUACGUGCCAGCAGCCGCCGUGAUAC